GAUGAACGCUGGCGGCGUGCCUAAUACAUGCAAGUCGAGCGAACAGACGAGGAGCUUGCUCCUCUGACGUUAGCGGCGGACGGGUGAGUAACACGUGGAUAACCUACCUAUAAGACUGGGAUAACUUCGGGAAACCGGAGCUAAUACCGGAUAAUAUAUUUAACCGCAUGGUUCAAUAGUGAAAGACGGUUUUGCUGUCACUUAUAGAUGGAUCCGCGCCGCAUUAGCUAGUUGGUAAGGUAACGGCUUACCAAGGCGACGAUGCGUAGCCGACCUGAGAGGGUGAUCGGCCACACUGGAACUGAGACACGGUCCAGACUCCUACGGGAGGCAGCAGUAGGGAAUCUACCGCAAUGGGCGAAAGCCUGACGGAGCAACGCCGCGUGAGUGAUGAAGGUAUUCGGAUCGUAAAACUCUGUUAUUAGGGAAGAACAAAUGUGUAAGUAACUAUGCACGUCUUGACGGUACCUAAUCAGAAAGCCACGGCUAACUACGUG
rnacentral:rRNA from 1 species